AUUGAACGCUGGCGGCGUGCUUAACACAUGCAAGUCGAGCGGUAACAGGCGUAGCAAUACGUGCUGACGAGCGGCGAACGGGUGAGUAAUGCUUCGGAAUCUUCCUCGUAGUGGGGAAUAACCUGGGGAAACUCAGGCUAAUACCGCAUACGAACUACGGCUGAAAGCAGGGGAUCGCAAGACCUUGCGCUAUGAGAUGAGCCGAAGUCGGAUUAGCUAGUUGGUGAGGUAAAGGCUCACCAAGGCGACGAUCCGUAGCUGGUCUGAGAGGACGACCAGCCACACUGGGACUGAGACACGGCCCAGGCUCCUACGGGAGGCAGCAGUGGGGAAUAUUGGACAAUGGGGGCAACCCUGAUCCAGCGACGCCGCGUGUGUGAAGAAGGCCUGCGGGUUGUAAAGCACUUUUAGUGGGGAUGAAAAGCCGAAGGCUAAUACCUUUCGGUCUUGACCUAACCCAAAGAAAAAGCACCGGCUAACUCUGUGCCAGCCGCCGCCGUAAGAC
rnacentral:rRNA from 1 species